rnacentral:rRNA from 1 species
ACUCGCCGAGAGGUGGUGCAUGGCCGCCGUCAGCUCGUAUCGUGAGACGUCCUGUCAAGUCAGGUAACGAGCGAGACCCUUGCUCCUAGUUGCCAGCAGGUGCCUUCGGGCACGAUGGGCUACUCUAGGAGGACCGCUGUCGAUAAGACAGAGGAAGGAGAGGGCGACGGUAGGUCCGUAUGCCCCGAAUCUCCCGGGCAACACGCGGGCUACAAUGCGUGGGGCAGAGGGCUGCAACCCCGAGAGGGGAAGCCAAUCCCUAAACCCACGCCUAGUUCGGAUCGAGGGCUGAAACCCGCCCUCGUGAAGCUGGAAUCCCUAGUAAUCGUGUGUCAUUAUCGCGCGGUG